AAUUUGGUGCUGCACACUACCUCAUUGCAAACUGCGCUCCCCAGACGUCUUAAAAGAAAGCUGAGAGUCCGGCCUCAAGUUGCUGUUUUGCUCCUGGACAAAACUGAAGGAAGGUAAGGACAUCGCAAAUAACUAUAAUUCACUCUUUCUGACAUCCUUUUUGUGUGUGCGCAGGUGAAACGGCAUCCUGACUUCAUCCAGAGCUGCCUGAGGAACAAGACGACAGUGAAUGAAGCUGUUGGUGUCUGCUGGGUUUGAGCACGCUGCAAAGCAAAAUGGCUGACGUGACCAUUUUUGACACAUUUUAUCUUUUGCAGGUUCCCCCAAAGCUGCACUGGGACGAAUGUCUCUCUGGACAGUUUAAAAAGGUACAUUUAACAUCCUGUACUAAUGGUGUCUUUCUGCUCGUGUCCACUAGGCGGCGCCAAAGCGGCUGUUCGCCCCGGAGAACCUGAAUCGGCAUCCACUCAGGGAAGACAGUUGACAGGCUCAAGUACUGUUGAUCUUUUACGCCAGUGAUGCUUCUGUUGGAAAAUACUUUUUUUU